CCUACGGGUGGCAGCAGUGAGGAAUAUUGGUCAAUGGACGAGAGUCUGAACCAGCCAAGUAGCGUGAAGGAUGACUGCCCUAUGGGUUGUAAACUUCUUUUAUAUGGGAAUAAAAUGUUCCACGUGUGGGAUUUUGUAUGUACCAUAUGAAUAAGGAUCGGCUAACUCCGUGCCAGCAGCCGCGGUAAUACGGAGGAUCCGAGCGUUAUCCGGAGUUAUUGGGUUUAAAGGGAGCGUAGGUGGAUUGUUAAGUCAGUUGUGAAAGUUUGCGGAGCAACCGUAAAAUUGAAGUUGAAACUGGCAGGCUUGAGGACAGUAGAGGUGGGCGGAAUUCGUGGUGUAGCGGUGAAAUGCUUAGAUAGCACGAAGAACUCCGAUUGCGAAGGCAGUUCACUGGACUGCAACUGACACUGAGGCUCGAAAGUGUGGGUAUCAAACAGGAUUAGAUACCCGGGUAGUC
rnacentral:rRNA from 1 species